rnacentral:rRNA from 1 species
UACGUAGGGGGCAAGCGUUGUCCGGAUUUAUUGGGCGUAAAGAGCGUGUAGGCGGCUUUACAGGACCGUUGUGAAAACUCGAGGCUCAACCUCGAGACGCCGGUGGAAACCGUAAGGCUAGAGUCCGGAAGAGGAGAGUGGAAUUCCUGGUGUAGCGGUGAAAUGCGCAGAUAUCAGGAGGAACACCUAUUGCGAAGGCAGCUCGCUGGGACGUUACUGACGCUGAGACGCGAAAGCGUGGGGAGCAAACAGG